rnacentral:rRNA from 1 species
AAGCACUUUAAUCAGGGAAGAAGCAUUUUAAGUUAAUACCUUAAUAUGUUGACGUUACCUGAAGAAUAAGGACCGGCUAACUCCGUGCCAGCAGCCGCGGUAAUACGGAGGGUCCAAGCGUUAAUCGGAAUUACUGGGCGUAAAGCGCGCGUAGGCGGUUUAGUAAGUUGAAUGUGAAAGCCCUGGGCUCAACCUAGGAACUGCAUUCAAAACUACUAAGCUAGAGUACGAGAGAGGAGAGUAGAAUUUCUGGUGUAGCGGUGAAAUGCGUAGAUAUCAGAAGGAAUACCAAUGGCGAAGGCAGCUCUCUGGCUCGUCACUGACGCUAAGGUGCGAAAGCGUGGGUAGCAAACAGGAUUAGAUACCCUGGUAGUCCACGCCGUAAACGAUGAGAACUAGCCGUUGGAUAGAUUUUAACUAUUCAGUGGCGCAGCUAACGCAUUAAGUUCUCCGCCUGGGGAGUACGGCCGCAAGGCUAAAACUCAAAUGAAUUGACGGGGGCCCGCACAAGUGGUGGAGCAUGUGGUUUAAUUCGAUGCAACGCGAAAAACCUUACCUACCCUUGAAAUCCAGCGAAGUUUUCAGAGAUGAGAAUGUGCCUUCGGGAACGCUGUGACAGGUGUUGCAUGGCUGUCGUCAGCUCGUGUCGUGAGAUGUAUGGUUAAGUCCAGUAACGAGCGCAACCCCUAUCCUUAUUUGCCAGCGCGUAAAGGCGGGAACUAUAGGGAGACUGCCGGGUGAAACCCGGAGGAAGGCGGGGACGAGGUCAAGUCAUCAUGGCCCUUAUGGGUAGGGCUACACACGUGCUACAAUGGGAAGUACAGAGGGAU